UNUGACUUGAGUGCAGAAGGGGAGAGUGGAAUUCUAUGUGUAGCGGUGAAAUGCGUAGAUAUAUGGAGGAACACCAGUGGCGAAAGCGGCUCUCUGGUCUGUCACUGACGCUGAGGCUCGAAAGCGUGGGUAGCGAACAGGAUUAGAUACCCUGGUAGUCCACGCCGUAAACGAUGAGUGCUAGGUGUUAGGCCCUUUCCGGGGCUUAGUGCCGGAGCUAACGCAAUAAGCACUCCGCCUGGGGAGUACGACCGCAAGGUUGAAACUCAAAGGAAUUGACGGGGGCCCGCACAAGCGGUGGAGCAUGUGGUUUAAUUCGAAGCAACGCGAAGAACCUUACCAGGUCUUGACAUCCCGAUGCUAUUCUUAGAGAUAGGAAGUUACUUCGGUACAUCGGAGACAGGUGGUGCAUGGUUGUCGUCAGCUCGUGUCGUGAGAUGUUGGGUUAAGUCCCGCAACGAGCGCAACCCUUAUUGUUGGUUGCCAUCAUUAAGUUGGGCACUCUAGCGAGACUGCCGGUAAUAAACCGGAGGAAGGUGGGGAUGACGUCAAAUCAUCAUGCCCCUUAUGACCUGGGCUACACACGUGCUACAAUGGUCGGUACAACGAGUUGCGAGCCGGUGACGGCAAGCUAAUCUCUGAAAGCCGAUCUCAGUUCGGAUUGGAGGCUGCAACUCGCCUCCAUGAAGUCGGAAUCGCUAGUAAUCGCGGAUCAGCACGCCGCGGUGAAUACGUUCCCGGGCCUUGUACACACCGCCCGUCACACCACGAGAGUUUGUAACACCCGAAGUCGGUGAGGUAACCUUCU
rnacentral:rRNA from 1 species